CUGAUGCUUUGAAUGUUUUAAGCAUCCUUCUUCCUUAUUCUACGGCAGGCUCAGCUAACGUCAACUUUACUGUUUGGGCACAGAGUGGUUGCUAUAAGUGGAGUUCUUCAAGACCAAAGAUUGCCGAAAUUCGACCUGUUAUUGGUAUUUCACCAAAGAAAAGUCAAAAUGACUGUAGUCAAAAGGCAAUAGUCACAUCACAGUCAUCAAAACCUGAAAAGCAAACUGCAAUAAUUGUUGCUGAAGAGAA